GAUGACGCUGGCGGCGUGCAUAACACAUUCAAGUCGAACGGGAAUCCGAUGAUUGAGACUUCGGUCGAUUGAAACGGAGGAUAGUGGCGGACGGGUGAGUAACGCGUGAGCAACCUGCCUUUCAGAGGGGAAUAACGUUUGGAAACGAACGCUAAUACCGCAUAACAUGUCGGAACCGCAUGAUUCUGACAUCAAAGGAGUAAUCCGCUGAAAGAUGGGCUCGCGUCCGAUUAGAUAGUUGGUGGGGUAACGGCCUACCAAGUCGACGAUCGGUAGCCGACCUGAGAGGGUGAUCGGCCACAUUGGAACUGAGAUACGGUCCAGACUCCUACGGGAGGCAGCAGUGGGGGAUAUUGCGCAAUGGGGGAAACCCUGACGCAGCGAUGCCGCGUGGAGGAAGAAGGUUUUCGGAUUGUAAACUCCUGUCUUCAGGGACGAUAAUGACGGUACCUGAGGAGGAAGCUCCGGCUAACUACGUG
rnacentral:rRNA from 1 species